rfam:Ictidomys tridecemlineatus contig031389, whole genome shotgun sequence.
GGGGCUAUAGCUCAGUGGUAGAGCACCUGCCUCGCAAGUGUGAGGAACUGGGUUCAAUCCUCAGUACCA